rnacentral:lncRNA from 1 species
CGCCGUCUGAUAUAACAUACCAAAGGGGAAGGGGUGGUGGGGGUUCGUUUGGCUUGGCGUCGUCGUCGCGCGCGCUCCGGUGACGGCGGCGGGCCGGCAUGGCCGUGGAGGAAGUCCUCGGUUGGUCGCUGUGCAACUUGACGCCUCAUCAUCUCGGCUCGGCCAAAGGGAGAAUGAAGAUACAAUACAAUACAGGAAGAGCGGCCUCCGGUCGCCGUGGUGUGCGUGUGUGUGUGGGCUGGAUGCCCUGUUCUCAGCUAGCGCUCUCCUAUCCUAUCAGAUUCAGAGCAGGGUUUUGCUGAUGUUCUACGUUUUGUUACUCGCUAUCACCAGAAAUAAAAAAGUUCCUUGCAGUUUGUUCUAAUUCCUACCAUCGUUGCAACAUUGGAUAUAGUGUCUAAGAACAGGAGAACCUGUAGAAAAUAGACAAGCACAGAAACUGUACUCGAAAUCGUCUGAAAUGCGAACUAGUGCAUUUUCCUUGCGAAAAUCCCUACAAAAAAUCUUGUGGUAGGCGUGCGUGGCCGCACUAAAAGAAAAUGUGCCCCGGUCGGUGCAGAGAACCCGUCCCGUCCGCUCACUGUCUGACGUGUGGUGUGGUCCGGCCCUACGAGUAGGCCUCGUGCCUAUAGGAGCGUUCCAGCACUGCUUCCCCACUAGCACAGAGCCGUGCAAUUUUAUCACACAAGACUCGAGAAAUCCACGAGAUCGCGGAUUGGUAUUGCUUGAGCGCCCGGUGAUCCCCGUUGCACUCCAGCCGACCACCACCGACUCCUGCGGCGCCUAGAAUUUCCCGUGCUCCAGCGAUAGGGCGCGACCGGGGUGAAACUGAAACCAGUGGCAAUACCAUUGGGUCCCCACCGCGGGUGCCCGUGAACCUUAUCGUGGCGCAUGCCUCCCGCACCGACCGACGGCAUGGACGCCGUCGUCUCUGCUAGCCUUUCUUUCUUUCUUUCUUUUAUUUAACGCGGCGGUGAUCGACAGCGACCGGCGGCGCGGGAAGCUCCCGCAGGGCUUGCGGGUCUGUUCGCUUCAGCUUAUAAACCGGCUGAAAAGCUGAAAUGGCUGAUUUGUUGUGAGAAAAAAACACUGUUUGGUAGCUGAUAGGCCGGAUGAACAAGCUGAAGCGAACACGCCGUGCAUAGUUGCAUCCGGCUGGCUCCGUUCUCGGAUCAACUUGGGCUGAGGGCAAUUGACAGUGAACGGGCCUGGCCAUUGAAUAUUUGAAUUGAGCACCAGUGGUAGCUCAAAUUUACCACGCGCAGGUCGGCACACGGAAGGAUCAGGAAGGUAAGGCGACCUGGACCAGUCAUCAGUUCAUCACAUGACGCGCUGCCAAGAUACCCUCCAGGCUCCAGCAAAAGAAAAGCUGUUGGGAAUGGGCCGCCCUGCGUGGGAUCAAUCCCCGAGAAGAUCAGAUAUUAUAACGUGGCACUAAAAAAGAAUAAAGUAGCCGCCGGGAUUGUCUCACAAAAGAAUAAAGUAGCCGUCGAGAUUGGUCUCAAAAAAUAUUAAAGUUUCGGCGUGUUCAGAUCCGACAACCUAUCGAGGCUACCCGAGUUAGGGUUGAGUGCGCGAGACUUGUCAAGAUUAGGAAUUUGAAGGUAAACACAGACAUACGAUUUAGACAAGUUUGGAUCGUUAGAUUGCGUAAUACCCUACUUCUUGUGUGUCGGUUGGAUUGAAUUGCCUUGAAGAGGAUCCCUGCCUCGCCUUAUAUUAUCGGGAGCAGGGUUACAGGUUGGUUGAUUUAUAAGAAUACUAGUCGAAUUCGAUUAGAUAAGGCAUACUCUAAUUAUUACGAGUAGUUUUUCGAAUUCUCGACUAGUUCCUAUCUUACCACGUAAAUCAUACCAUCCUGCAUCAUAGUCUUCACAUCUUGUACCAGUCCUGUACCUAGAACUCUCCAAAUCUCCUGAUGAACUCGUAGAUGUAUAUACGACGGCCGCCGAGGUUCGAAUGCGAACGGUGCAGGUCAUCUGGCUAGUUGGUGUGCAAAUUUUAUUUGAAAUGCUGUAGUCCACCGACGAACAAAUACUUCAGCCCAUUUUUAAGUCAUCUCUUGCUAUUUUAUCCUUCCCGAGAUACCCAUUGCCGACAGCAUCAAUUAGUUGCUAUUUUAUCCUUCCCGAGAUACCCAAUACUGACAGCAUCAAUUAGCGUCCAUAUAGCUUUCAGUAAAAGAGAAGGCUUCUGGGCAAUAAUGAACACAGCUGAAAGGGAGUGUCAAUUUUCUUCAACACAUGCGUAGUGCGAUUUUCUUACUACGCCAUAACCUUUAGUACUGUCUUAAGCCCGCUCAAUAUGUGCAAACAGAUUAUCAUCUGGACCACAGAAAUCUGAAGGAAUGCAAACAUACACAGCCCAUACAGAUACAGAUCACCACACAUGGGCCACAAACUACCCAUUAACACCCACAGUAAGAACCACAAGCAUUGGGCGUGAGCAAGAGCUGCUUCCAAAGCAAAUCUCAAACAGAUCGGAGGGUUCGUCCAAUUUUUUGGGCAAUCAUAUUGCAAUAAGACAACGUCCUCACGACACCUAGAUAUAUCAGACGCAAAACAGAUACACAAUCUGAUCUCACACUGCUGGAACACGGAGGACAAUCCGUCGCUGAUACAUCAACAUGCAGACUCAUAAGAUUAUCGCCUUACCGGCUUCCAGCUUGGCUGCAGACGACUCAGAGAAAAGGGGGACAUACAGGAGAGUAACCGGAUGUAGGCAUGCAAGGGUGAUCGCAUUGGCUGUGCCAAUCACCCAGACUUGAAUAGCAAGACGGCUUUGGAAUCGAUGUAGAAGUAUACAAAGUAGUUUGUCUCAUGCGUUACAUACGAACCUGCAAUAGACGAAAAAUGGUUAGCAAAAGCGUGGGCGUUCAAUAUACAUAUCAUGGACUCAUAAAUGGAAGAGGUUAAUAAGUUCUCACUAUUUUCAGCUUAACUUUUCCAUUCCCAAGCUAUGCAUAUGCCACUAAAGUUCAGCGGUCAACAUAACCACAUACUCCACAACCAAAAGGAGUAACUGGAUGUUUUUAAUGUAGAUUAACAAAUCCAACCAAUUUAUAAUGGAGAAACUCUAGCAGGACUUGGCAUAUGUUCUGUCUCACUGCUAGAAUAACUAUCCCAUGUUACAGAAAUGGUAUUUAGACAUAGUAAACAAGAUGCCGGAUAAAUAUCAAACAAAGGCAGAAGAGGCUAACGCUCUUCUAACUUGCUAAUUGAUCAUUUCUCGAGCUAUGAGAAGUAAUUUAAGAUAAAAUUUCUCCCAUAAUCCUAUCAUAAUAGAGUAAAACAGAAACAUGUAGAAAUUAAGACAGCUCUUCAUUGAGUUUUAUAAUUAGUUUGUGAAGUAGAAUCAGUCAAAAAUAUCUGGAAACUACGACAGCUCAUCACUCAGUCUUAGAAUUAGAGAAACAAUUUAAGAAAAGAUUUCUCCCAUAGUCCUAUCCUAAUAGAGUCAAACAGAAACAUGUAGAAAUUAAGACAGCUCUUCACUGAGUUCCUAUCCUAAUAGAGUCAAACAGAAACAUGUAGAAAUUAAGACAGCUCUUCACUGAGUUUUAUAAUUAGUUUGUGAAGUGGAAUCAGUCAAAAUAUCUGGAAACUACAACAGCUCAUCAUUCAGUCUUAGAGUUAGGUUGAGAUACAAUCAGUGCAAUCAAAUAGAAACAUCUGGGAACUAAGACAGGUCGCCGAAGUGUCUUAGGAUUAGUUUGUGUGACAGAAUCAGUCAGUUGUGAGUGUGUCAUUCUCUCUAACGUUUGUCCUUCUCUUCUUAUUAGUAAAAAGAAAGCUGAAGUGCUGCCCAAGUUUGGAACAACAAAGGGUGACCAAAUUUAAAGGAAAAAAAUAAAAAAGGACUGGAAUUCAGAGACAGCAACAACCAGCCUCUUGUUUCUAUGCCAUCGAUAGAGAAAAACCUUUUUAAUUUUGCUAAUACUUUCAGUGCUAAAAUGUGUGCUCAAUCAAAAGGGACAUUCAGCCAUUGGUCAAAUCUUUCUAGCCUUGUCAGAGUGGCAGAAUUCGUAAGAAUUUGGUGACUUGUUGCAGUACACCAAUUAUCAGAAGCACACUCCAAAAUUUAUUAACAGAUAUUGGCCCAGAACGAAAAAACCAAUAAAAAAUGUGCAGAUUUGAGUUAUGGCUAUUUUAUGAUAAUUGACAAUGCCUGAAAGAAAACCAAAAUAGUGUAUGUCUGACUUGCUUGUAGAGAAUGCAAAGGAAGGAGAGAAAGAAAGCAAUGAUAUGCUUUAUUUGUUAUGCACGAUAUAGAAGUUGCAGUGAUAAGACCUAGCUACUAGGCAUGCUGGAAAAUUUCCAAUAACAAUAUAAUUUGGCAUCUUGAUCGAGAAGAAGCUAGAAUGGGAGAUAAAUCAGGAAAUUAUAAAUGAUCCAAUGCUACACGUAAAGCUAUAUAGCAUGUAGAAGAAUAUGAACACAGUCGAGAAAUUGCUAUAAGAAAAUAUGACCUGAAGUAUAAGAUUAAACAUUUUGUAGAGGAGAGUCGAAAAACGAACAGCUAAAACUUAUGUUUGAUAAGAACAUAGCCACAUAAUUGCAAUAAAAAAACAGAACAAAUGCAGAGUUAAACAGUUGCUGCAAAACACAAAAGCUGUUCAAUCUGGUACUGAAAAUUGUUAGCUUAGAUCCAAUAUCACAAAUUGGUUAGGCCAAUUGCAUUAGAGGUCUCUAAACUUCCUUUAUUGCACUGCUAAUUGCAGGAGUGUUUGUCAAGUGAAUAAGUAAUGUGCCAUGCCAGUUGACACGGAAUAUAAGUGACAUGACAGUAUGACAGUCAGCAUGCCCAGUCAGUUGCAAGUCUACAUAAAAUGCCAUGCCAUUUCUUUGUUACAUCUGAUUAACAGAGUACAGUGACACUAAGUUAAGGAACUGAAAAAUAAAGCAUGUGCUACUAAUUUAUUGAAACAAAAAAUUUAGUUUUAGAUAAGAAAGAGUUGAACAAAAAAUUGAAUAAGUCAAUUAAAAAUGUGUAAAAUUGAAUGAUACUCCCUCCGUUUCAAAAUGUAGGUCAUUUUUGCUUUUCUACAUAUAUAGAUUUUGCUAUGUAUCUAGACAUAACACUAUAUUUAGGUGCAUAACAAAAUCUAUGUAUCUAGAAAAGCCAAAACGACUUACAUUUUGGAACGGAGGGAGUAGCUCGCUAAGUUGGAUUUGGUUGAUAUCAGGAAUAGCCUACCCUGUUGGCUGAGCAAAGCUUAGAGAAUGCUUACAUAAAGUUUUUAGAAUUUAAGCCAAGCCAGAAGCAAGGAGGUAAACUUCAAAUUCGAGAAAUAAGACAUUGUCAUACUUGCACUAUACACACUCCCGGAAACAAUACUUCACCCACUCCAUUACAGGUGCUACAUUCAAUAAAAAAAGAUACAGGUCAUUCAACAUUCCCUUGUCAAAUUUGAAGCAUAAUUUCAGUUGACUGCAAUAACCGUUUCAGCUUCUUCAGUUUUCCUAGUUCAUUUCCUCCUGUGUACAACUUAUUUGUGGGGGUGAGGGUGGGGAAUGAGUUUCCUGUGGCUUCUAUUGACAGCAUAAGCAGUCCUACAAGGUCCAUUCAAUCAAUCACGUGCGGACCUUUAUUGGGCCAGGCACGGACGAAAUCGACCAUGGAAUAACCAACGACGCAAAGCAUACCAGACCAGAUAUCAACAACUGUCCUCAGGACAGGCGCAAUCAUCCCACAUGUUCCGCGCUAAUUAAGGAGUCCUCCCGGACAAGAGGAGAGCAUUACCGAAGUUGCGGCCGACGAUGCAGUGCCAGGUUGGGCCGUGGUUCUUGUCGAACUCCUUCUUGAUGUACUCCGCGAUGUCCUUCUCCAUGGUGUGCUUCUCGAACGCCUGACCGAAAGAGCGAGAGGUUGAAAAAAAAAUCCCCCGAACCCCAACGAACAACUAGUAAUAUGAAAACCAAAUCGAGAGCAGGAAAGAAAGCAAUAGUGAGAGCAGAGGCACGAGGUUCGUACGAUGCGGGCGAUUUCGAAGGCCUCCUGCCGCAUCUCCUCCUUCAUAUCGGCGCUCUUGAGCUGGAUCUUGUGCCCCGCCGCGGCCGGCGGCGGGGACCCCGCGCCCACCGGCUUGCGGUCCUCGGAGGAGGCCCGGAGCGCCGCCUGCGCGGCGCCCCCGGCCCCGCGCCUGGCCUCGUCGGACAUUCUCGAGGGCGGGUGGAGCAGAGCUGCCGGGCACGCUUCUCCUCCCUCUCGAGGAAUCCUCUCCUCGCUUUUUUGGCGAUGGUGGGCGUCUGGGCGAGGACGAGAAGCAGACACCGUGGGCGUGCGCGUGCGCGUUGCAGUGGAAUCUGCCUAGCAGCCGGCGGCCAGAGAGAAGAGAGAAGGUGAAAGUGUUGAAACUGGGAACUUUGGGCUGAGCCAUGGGCCUCCAUAUACAGAACCGGCCCGAAAUAAAGAGUCCAUGAGGUUGGUCCAGUUCCGUUUGCAAUGUGAGUAUUUUGCGAAACCGUUGCAGAAAUUUUAAGUGGAGCAGUUCAGCCCUCGUAGAGUCGAGAGUAAGACAAGAACAGUCAUGAGUUCCAAAUAUGCCUUCUUUAUAAAAAAAAAUUUGUCGUUAACAGUGCGCGUGUGUGUCUCCAGCAACUUCUAAUGUGACCCAAAUGGCCAAAUGUUACGGAGCCCUACGUGUUCUGGAGUUUCAAAGAGACGUAUGAAGACCACGAUGCAAAAAUGAUGUCUGCCUUUUCUCUGUCCGGUCAUCCAGGGUGUCACCUGGAGUUUUCAAGGUGUAUUUGGUUGCAUGCACCACAUGAUAUAUGCAUAGAUGAUUCUACAUGAGUGGUUCAACCAAUUUGCUUGUACCAUAUGGUUCAUUCUAAUUAGUAGAAUAAUGUAACACAGUGUUUUACCAUACAUUUGCAUAUCAACAGUCUCGCAAACCUGCAAACCUUCAAGGGUAUUAUAGUCAUUUCUUACCAAAAUUACAGUAUCACAGCUGUUUCAAUCAAACGGCUUUCAGCUUUUUCACACCUCAUAGCAUCUUUUCCAUAACCCGCAGCUCACAUCAACUUUUUCACAGCUCACAGUUCAACAAAAUAGACCAUAUAUAAGUAUGUUCGUGUGCUUUCAAAUUGCACGGGCAUCCUAAACUUACCCUCAGCUGCAAUUUAGGUCCAUGUGUUUGCAAAUGCUGAUCUAAGUAACUGAAUUUAGCUUAAUUGAUUAUUUUUUCUUAUGAUGGAACCUGCUUACCUGACUUCAAAUGCACUGAGUGCUCAUAUUUUUCUAAAUUUAUUUUAGGAAAUAAUAACUAUGUUUUUUAAUGGUUAGCGAUGUACCCGUCAAUAACGAGGUCCUUAUGUUUCGUCAAUCUCAAAAUCUGUUAGUUCAAUCUCUCUGAGAUAUGGUCAUAGGGAUAGGACGUGUGUGUUUGUAUGGAAAAGUUGACUUCACUUUUUUUUUGCUAGUUUUUUUCCAUGCAACACCUUCACAUCUAGAGACCUCCCAUAAAAGUACAUAUAUAGAAGCCUACAUACAUGCAUGCACAAUUACACAAUAUACACCUUUAGAGGAUCCGCUGAGGCUACUAGGGUCCCGUUUGGCAGAACUCUCAAAACUGAUUCUCCACUAAAUCCAGUAGGAACUCUGCCAAACAGUUUUUUAGAGAGAAGUAAUUCUCUAAUGAUUCUGUGAAGUAAUCCUCUGAAAUGAACUAAGAGGCUGGGAGCUGAAAAAAGUAGUUUCUCCUGAUUUUGUGAAGUAAUUCUCCAUUCUAAUUUUAAGAGUUUAUGCUAGAGAAUUAAAUAGAAUCGUUUUCAACACUUUUCUCAGAGAAUCAGAUGGAGUUCUAACCAAUAUUACGUGCGAAUGGUGGGGACGUUGUUUUUUAUGGAGGGGGUCAUGUUGGAGACAAACUUUGCUCAAAAAAUUGUUUUAGUUCCCAAACUAUCGAAAGGGUCAAUUUAGUCCCUGAAUUGUUGUUUGUAGUUCAAUCUAGUCGUUAGUCUUACAUGGCAUGCCAUGUGAGCUGACCGGUAUGCCCACAUGCAAAAUGUCCAUAUUACCCGUCCUCUUUUUUCUCACCCUCUCGCUUCCAUGCGGAUCCCACCUCUCAGUUAAAAAAAAAAUGGUCCGGUCCUUCGAUCCCUUGUGGUGCAUGUGGCUCCCGGUCCCAUCCCGCCGGCCGGCCAAGCAGGUGGAGCGCAUGAAUUGGCCUGUUCGCUUCAGCUUAUCAGCCGGCUUAUCAGCCACCGAACAAUGUUUUUCUCUCAUAACAAAUCAUCUGUUUCAGCUUUUCAGCCGGCUUAUAAGUCCAGCCGAACAGACCAAUACAGCUCGGCAGGGAAGACCGGCUAGACGAAGAUGCAUCGGCAAAGGAUGUCAUUGGUCUUACGUCUUGCCUUGGCCUUAUAUUUUUGCAUGUGCGAUGCGUAAUUUCUUCAAUUUCUUCAUGAGGCUCGGCGACACAUCCACAUCUCAACCAUUUAUUUGGUUUAUUUUUAUUUUUCCCUCAACCAUUUCAACCCUGACAGGUGGGACCUGCUUGGAAGCGAGAGGAUGAGGAAAAAAGAUGAAGGGUAAUUUGGACAUUUUGCAAGAGGACGUAGCAGUCAGAUGACGUGGCAUGGUAACUUGGUCCCACAUAAGACCGCAGACUAGAUUGAACUAUAAACAACAGUUCAGGGACUAAAUUGGUACUUUUGAUAGUUUGGGGACGAAACCGAUCCUUUGAGCAAAGUUGGGGAACCAAUACAGACUAUUUUUCCAAUUGCUAACGGACGAGUAAAGUGCAUGGCAGCGUUAAGUGUCCGUGUACUUUCAAAUUGCACUGUCCUCCUAAACUUACCAUGGGAUGCGAUUCAAAUCCAUGUACUCCCAAAUGCUGAUCUAGCGUACAGAAUUUAUCUCAAUUGGUUAUUUUUCUUCUGAUGGAACUUGCCUAACCUGCCUAUCCGACUUCAAGUGCUCGACUCGUCAACACAGCUACUCGUAUUUUCCAGAAUUUAUAUCAAGAAUCAAUGACUAUAUUUUUUAAUAGUUUGUGAUGUACCCGUCGAUACCGAGGUUAUUGUGGUGAUUUCGUCAAUCUCAAGAUCUGUGUCAAUCUCAAGAUCUGUUAGCCCAAUAUAUCUCAUAUGUACUCGUAGGGAAAGGAUGUGUGUGUUUGUAUGGAUAAGUUUUAAGGGUCUAUUUGGAUCCGUUAGCUAAACUUUAGCAGCUAAACUUUACUAAACUUGAGUUGCUAAACUUUAACCAUGACUGUUUGGAUCCAUGGGCUAAACAUCAUUUAAUGAGGUGUAGAAAGACCUGUCUGCCCUUAUUUAAUGCGAGGGGGGAGACAGAGAGAGGGUCCAGACAAGCAAUAAUGAGGGGCAAAAAGUGUCCAGCCCCAAGUUUAGCAAGGUUUAGCAACCAAAAAGUUGUUAAAGGACUAAAGUUUAGCAACCAUAGUUUAGCAAAAUUUAGCAAGGGUUUGUUGCUAAACUUUAGCUGCUAAAGUUUACCAAGGGGUAUCCAAACACCCCCUAAGUUGACAUCAUACUUUUGUUGCCAGAUUUUUUGAUGCAACACCUUAGAUUUCCUCCCUCAUAUAGAUGCCUAGAUACAUGCACGAAAUGCUUACCCAUAUAAAAAGGCACACUUAAAUACUAUGCACCUAGAGUACCAUAAAAAAAUACUGGACCCGCAGAUCAUGAGAAUGACGAAAUUACCACAGCCACCUCACUAUGAACGGGUACGCCGCUUACUACUAAAAGAAUAAUUAGCCAUAAAUGCAAGCAAUUGUCUUGAAGUUGGAGACUUGGAACUUGGAUGAGCAAGUUCAACCAAAAAAUCUAAUCAACCUAGAAUGUCGCUAUGGCAGAGAGUUUGCAGCAGCUUUUGAAAACUAUGGCUAAACAUGUUGAAAGAACACAACUCUAAUUAAUUCUAACUAGAAUGGGUCCUACUACCAAAGUAGUAUUUCUUGGAAAGAAUGGAAUUUUUCUACAUUCCCAACAUGAUUUUUUUCUCUCUCAAAAACACAGUUCCCAACAUGACCUACAAAGAACCUUUGAUCGAUUAGCACAUAAUAUUUCCUCGGCAGUUAUUCUAGGGAUCUAGCCAGAUUGCAUCUCUAUUCUCUAGUGGCCUAGAGGGCUUCUGAGCAUUUUGGUUGUGUAUUGGCAGCAGAUGGACAACACAUGAUGGAUGCACUCAUCGAAUUUUGGAUUAGUGAUCAAUCGGGCCAUCGGCUAAGUGCAUAUGCAGGCGAGGCCCCUUUGCAUAUGCAGGCCGGAGCUGUAUGCGCAAAAAAAAAAUUCAAUUGCAAAAACAAAAAAGGAAUAAAAGAGAUGAUGGCGGAUUUGCUGCCGUCGAUCUACUAGGUUUGCACACGAUCCAUGCUAUUGCUCUACCAUUGCCACCAUGCUGCGUUACUCGCUCUCCGGAUCAACCAGAGAAGGGAAAAAUUGAAGGGGGAAAGGUAGCAAUAGAAACACAUAAAAGAUUUGGAAAAAAAAAUCUUGCGACGAGGUUCCUGUUGUGCCACUCGUUGAGUGGAACCUGAAUCACCUCAUGACGGCGUGCUUCCAAGAGCCGCACUAUACACAGUCCGCCGAGAUCAGCACUAUACGCGGCCUGCUAGGAUCUGCACUAUAUGCAGUCCGCUAGGAUCCGUUAGCCUUGAUGAAAAACCGUGGAAGGGACUACCUCUUCCAUCGAGAAUCCACAUAAUCUGGGGCAGAGAGAGAGAGAGAGGGAGGGGGAGAGGGAUAGAAUUUGAGGGAGGAGGGAGAGAGAGAGUUUGCUCACCCUCCCCUUCAUGGUACCAGUUAAAGCAUAGUCUUAGCCACAUCGCAGCUCCCAAUCAGCAGCCCUCGAGCCGCACCAGAUCCCGCUAUGCCAGCAUAUGUGGAUCUCGCGGGUUCUGAGUUCCUAUCCCCCAUGGCGGCAUGCAUCUGCCUCACCUGUUGAUGGCGAGUCGGAGGUGGCCGCGGAGCAGGGGAGGUGUACUGAGAUCCGUUCGAGCCACCUCUGCGGUGUGUUGUGGAAGCCAACAGGGUAGAAAAGAGGGAGGAGGAAAAGGUAAAGGGAAUGAGAGGGAGCUCUUGUCGAUAGAAGAUAUAGGGGAAAAGGUUCUCUGAGUCAGGCACACUCACGUGAAAAAAGGGAAGAGGGGCAGCGGUGCAUGUCAACAACGUGUUGAUGACCUGUAGGGACUCCACAUACAGCGAAAUUAGAUCACCUAACCAGGGGCAAACAAGUUCAACUAUAUACCAUGGGAAGAAUGUAUGAUCCAUACAUAACUCCUAAGUCUCCAACUAGCAACUUAGUGGGAUGGUCAUUGAAGGCAACAAUCGCUCCAAAGUCUUUGAGAUUUCAUUCUAGCGGCCCCUGUCCCAUCCCUCUUUUUUCUGGUAAUUGAAAUAGUUAGGUAGUUUUUGGUUGUCAACUUUAAACCUUAGCAUAUAAGGAAAAUGGAAGAGUUGUAUAAUCGUAAACGAUUUAAGCAAUUACUUAUUUUGUUUGGUUUUGCCCAAUAAUGAAGUAUGGUGUUAAAAACAAAAAUUAAAGAAGAAGUAUAUAUGAUCAACGAGACGGUGACAAUGAUAAAGAUCUUUUGCCUGGCAUUUUGCCCUGGCAACAGCACCAUAAUGUUCCUGACAACCUGCAGGCUGUGGCGGUAAUGGGCGUUCAUUUGCAAGGUGUACACGAUCGUUGUGGAGACGAGGUCAGGGUGCAUCUAAUUUCAAGGACUUGUUCGACGUUGUUCUUCUGGAGUACUCUCUGUCACUAUUUGUUUUGACUUUUCUAAAUACAUAUUUAAAAAGAUCAAAACGAAUAGUAAUUCCAGGAAGUACGUAGGAAGCAAGCGGACACGAGGAUUAGAAUGGGCAGUGAGCCUCAUUACACUAGGUAGGCAGCAGUAUCUGUUUACCUAGUUUUUCCUUAUCUCCGUGGGAUUUGAUUGUGCCAGCGUCUAAACAAACACAGGUUGCCUCCAGAAAGGAAUUAUAUUAAAAAACAUGAACCAAAGAGAAUCUAAUAAGUUACACGCUCGUGAGACUUUGAUGCGAAUUUAUGCCAGUUAUAGGUCAUCUGUAAAGUUCCACUUAAAAAUCUUUUCCAUUGAUUUCUAAUUCUCUUUUUGUCAGGUGAAUUUGUUUUCAAUUUCAUGCUUAUUUUUUCAGUUACAUUCUAGAUUCUUGUGUUCAAGGUGGUCUGGUUCUGGUAACUCGCGGCCAGGAAGAAGAUGAGGUCCCUGGCCUCGACAAAUUGCAGAAUCAUGUCAUGGCGCUUACGAAUGACUAGUUACAAAUCUUAUUAUUAGUAAAAAAACAGAGUAUGUAUAAGAACCUGGUACACUAGUCUUGCAGCAUCACUUUGUGUUUGGAUUGAGGAUCGAAGUGGGUUGAGAUGGGUUUUACAAAACAGAGUAUGUACAAGAACCUGGUACACUAGUCUUGCAGCAUCACUCUGUGUUUGGAUUGAGGGUUGAAGUGGGUUGCCAACCCACUUUGCCCCAUGUUUGAUUGAAUUCCCAACCCAGAUGGGAAUAUUCCUACGAGAUCCGGGUCGAGCGCAUCCCAUUAAAUCGGAGGGACUGCAUGAACCCAGUCCGACGCCAUCUCCGUGCUUGCCUGCGCGCUGGGGAGGAGCUGGGAUGCCGGGUGGUGGCGGGCGCGGGGAGGUGGCGGGGGAGGUCGCCACCGUGGGGAGGCCGCCACCGCGGCGGAUGCAGGGGCCGGCGGCGGCAAGGGAGAGCAGGGGGUGCGUGGGAGGAGCCAGUAGAGGAGCCGUGCGGGGAGGAGGAAGAAGGUAGAAGAGGAAGGGAGGAAAAAAAGAGAGGCUGACUGGUGAGCCCCGCAACUGAUAGGUGGGGCCCACAACUAACGGUGUUAAAAGGACAUCCAUCCUAACCUUCUCAACCUCAUCAAGCAAACAAAAAAAUGGAUCAGCUCCAACCUACUCAUCCAAACAUGAGAUGAGAUGGCUCCAACUCAACUCACAUCGUCCCAAAAUCAAAAGCUACCUUAGUCUCUUCCUCUUCAAAUAACUGCUUCUCGUCACGGCCAGGCUCUCCGCCGCCGCUUCCACGGCGCAAUUCGUGACGUAGUUGUAGUAGGGCGGUAUAGGGGACCGCCAUGCUAGCACGCCCAUCUUGUCCUCGCCACGGGGCACGGCGCGGCCGUCGAGCACGUCCUGCAGCGUCACCUUGGGAAGCUCGGCGCUCUGCGCCGGACCGGGUCGCCACGUCCCCGUCUGCUUGCGCCAGUCGUAGUAGAAGCAGAGCGGCGCGUCCUCGGCGGCGCCGCAGAGGUAGGCGAGCCUGCUGCGGCCCGGCAGCCGGCUCGGGUGCUCGCCGAAGGCGGUGUAGUUGGCGCGCACGCCGCGCCUGACCACCUCCAGCACGCGGCGCCAGAACCGCGCGUCCAUGCUCGAGUGCAUCAGCCGGGAGAGGAUGUUGGCGGCCAUGAACGACCCCUUGAGCUCGUCCACGAGGUCCAUGGCGAUGGAAGCGAGCUCCGGGUGGUCGCCCGGGUCGGCGCUGCCGAAGGCGAGGACCUUGAAGAAGUGCCAGUAUUCUUCUUUGUGCAGGGUUGCCAGCCUCAGUGCCUGUCCCGUUCCUAGAGUUGAGACCUGCUCUGUUUGGCUGAUGACGAUGAUCUUGCUUGAUUUGUCGCUGUUGCUAACAGAGGAGUAGAACCUUCUCCAAGCUGAGGCAUCCGGCGCACCGGCAAACUCGACGAUGAUCAGUGAUCCCCCGCCGCUCGGGACGUGUUCCUGGUGCUCAGGAAUCAGAUCAUAUUCGCCGUCUCCAAGUUCGUCGCCGCAGAGAUGGGUGAUCAGAGGGAAUUGCUUCCGCACCCUGUCGUCGGCGCAGACGUGCUCCACGAGAGUCUUCUUCCCAACCUCCGGUGGGCCGGUGAUGGGGAGGACUCCGGGAAGCGAGCAAGGCCGCAGCAGGAACUCGAUAACCCUCUCCAUCUCGCCGUGCCGGCCAAACAUGCACCGGCCCAUGUGCAGAUACGUGCUGUACGGCUGGCGACCGACGCGCGGGUAGCCGCCGAGGAACACGACGAACUCCUUCAUGUCGCCGAGCACGGCCUCGAGGCUGUCAACGACGGCCUGGAGCUCGUUCAUGCUGUCUCCGCUUACCUCCACUGCUCCUUCACCGUUGUUGCCGUCGACGACCGCCGCCGCGUCGAAGUACGGCGAGGAGGAGGAGGAUCUGCGGCGCGCCGCGAGGACGCGCCUUCUUGUGCUGACGGCGGCGAGCCUCCGGGAGGCGUCGAGGACGUAGUGGCCCCGGUACAUGCCCUCCCUGAGACGGCCGAGCUGCAGGAGCAUACCGCGGUUGGUGAUGUGCCGCGUCUCGGCCUCCUCGACGACGGCGCGGGCACGCAGGAGGAGACGGUGCAGCCUCCCAAGUUUGCUGGCGGCGGCAUGCUUCUGGUACCUGGCGAUGAGGAAGGAGAGGCACCGGCCGAUGAGGUCGCUGACCACCGCAGAGGCCAAGGCGUCCAUUGCUGAAACUGAUCGAGGAGUUUCUUGCAGGCUGCUGGUUAGUGAUUACUGAACCGACGAGUGGAUUCCCGCCGGUUCGCGAGAAAAAGUUUGAUGCCAUGGAUGGAAUGUGGAGGUCCAAGUCAAGGGUCAACCCCUGAGACAGCACGGCGGUGACUGUCCCGGUUUGUGGUUCCCCUUCCAAGCAGGCGGCUGGUCGUCACUCGUCAAAGUUGCAUACAGCUGAUAAGCCGGUGAAGCAAUCAAUUUAUUGUGAAAUGUUAACAUAAAAAGGACCAGCCCAGAAUCUGUUUACUGUUCUUUUUUUAAAAAAAAGACAUCCUAAACAUCGAACUCGAAGUCUUUUUUUUUGUUUCAUCAAUGGUGUUUCCGAAGAAAUGGUUGAAUAAGAUUUAGUGAACUUUCAAACGUACGACGUCUAACAACCCCAUUUAAAAAAUCCGAUUCAGAGAACAAUGAACCCUAAAAACAAGAAUGGGGAUUGGGGUGUGCAUUUUUUUUUUUCAAGAUGAUUUGUUGUUGCAAAAGAUUUUGGGCUCAGAAUUGAAGAAGGCUGACAAUGUUCACCGGAAUGUAUGAUGUUGAGUAACACAACAAGGAUAUGCUGACCACAGGUAACAAAUAAGUGCCCAGGGUAGUUUAAAGAACCUUUUUACAAUCCUUGACUAGGAUCCCGAUCAACUAGAGAUUGUGAAAAAACGUCUUUAGCUUGUGAAUUGUUAAGAGUAAAUUUCUUUUAUGCCAUUAAGAAAAUUCCAAUCUCUUUGGUGCCAUCAGAAAUUUUGGAGAAGACACGGCAGUUUAGUCCUUAACAGAGCUCAGAGGUAUGGAACGUGACGUUCAUGGAAGGGAACAGAAAAUUUUUAACUGGUGGCAUAGAAGGAAACUCAAAAUUUGAUGGUACCAAAGGGAUUUGAAAUACUACUUCUAGAUUUCAACAGCCUAUAAUACCGUUAGUGGAGACGUGGGUAUGUGAAUGACAAAGGUGGCCAUUUCCAGUAAAAUCCAAUUGCCAAUUUGGUCUUUUUUUUCAAUGCACAAGAUGGCAAAAGCUAAUGAGAGGCAACUUAUGGGAUUGUUAAAAGAUGGUAAAAGUUGGCAUGCUUAGAUCAACCAGACCUUUUAAAACCAACAAUCCGCACUUUAGCCGAUCCAGACAGGGCCUAGAAGUGUAGCAUGAUUUUGGUAGAAGAGGUGCGUGAUGCUAGUUUCUCUCAAGUUAAAAUUAGUAGCUCUUUGCGAACUGAGUUAGUGAACUGCCCAUCCAAGUCUUCAACUCAACGUAGGUGCUUGUAUUUUUUUAUAUUUAUUUCAAGAAUUAACCAUGCUAUUCUUAAUUUUAGUGGUAAGUGGUAUGCCCGUUGACAACGAAAUGCUUAUGGUGACUUUGUUAAUCUCAAGAUUUGUUGCUCAGUUUCUCAACAAUGCUCGUCUAAGAGUAGGAUGUGUGUUUGUAUCGAUAUGGGUAAUUGUCGUAAACAUCUGCAUGGGUAUCGCUGUUUUGAAAAAAUGGGCUUGUUUUACCUUUCCAAGAAAGAAAAUAAAGCUCCUGCGUGCCAUUUUUGUUAGGAGACAUGAAGGCGAUAGACACCCUACUACUAUUAUUAUAUGUGUUAUUCAUGCGACUCUAACAUGAACUCACUACUCACACUUAUGAAAAUUAUCAAGAGACUGCUUGAACAGAUCAUGAGAAUAUCAAAGUUACCACAUCCACCUCAUUGUGAACGGUACACCACUUACUAUUACAAAAAUUAGCCAUAAAUGCAAGUACUCGCAUCGAGUCAAAGACUCGAACUUGGAUGAUCAUAUUCCACCAUUACAAAUCUCACCAACCAAGUGAUGACUAGAGAUUUUGCAACAGUUUUAUAAACUAUGACUAAACACAUAGAGAGAAACAACUCCAAUUAAUUCUAACUAGAAUGGACCCAUUACCAAAGUACUCCAACUAUUAAUGACAUUUGCACACAUUUCUAAGAGUAAUAAUAUUUUUCUCGGUGGCUAAUGUUAAUAAUAUUUUCCACUUGUUAAGAGUGCGGAAAUUGAUUGGGGGGUGGGUUGGGGGGGGGGGGGAGCACAACAUAUAGGUGGGGUAGCCCUCACCCAUCGGGCUAGUCUUUUGGGUUGAGUUAGGCCCAAGUCCUUGUUGUGGGCUCUGGUGGGGCGCCGUCUCGUGGGUAUAACAGGUCGGGUGGAUUCUGCUACGCACUCUAACAGUUAAUCUAGGGAUCUAGCCAUUUCUCAUCAUUAGUGGCCUUGAUGACUCCUGAUCAUAUGGUUGCGUGGCAAUUUGUAAGAGAUGGGACUAAAGGUUGCAAAUGAUGGAUGUAGUAGAGUUUUGGACUAAGAACCAAUGUUGGCUAAGUGCGUAUGUAGGCGGGGCCGCUUCAAAACCUGGAGCCUGGGGUGGUCGCCACAUUCACCAUCCCUAGGUCAAGGAGAUGGGCACACCAAAAUUUCAAUUGAAGAAAACAGAGGAUGGAGGGGGAGGAUGGGGCAGUGGGUAGAUCCGCCGGUGGUAAUGACCCACUGGACUCACACAUGCCCUAUGCCACUACUCUACCUUGGACACCACACCACAUCACUCACUUGUCAGGGCAACCGGAGGGGUAGGGGGGAAAGGAUGAAGACGAAAAAUAAUUGUAGAAACACACAAUAAAAUUUGGAAAAUAAUUAAAAGGAAAGAAAAAACUGGUGAUGAGCUUCAAUCCCUUGGUGCCACUCGUUGGGUGGAAACCAAGUCGCCUCACAGCGGUGAGAUCCCGAGAGCCACACUAUGUGCUCUCCAACCGGAUCUGUCCCCUUCACUAGGAAUCCACCGAGAGAUUGCACCCACCAGUUGAAGUGCCACCGCAUGCUUCACAUAUGCUCCAUCACACCACCUCUUGUUACUCAACUCCCAGCUAGCGAUGCACGGGGGGAGUUUCCUUGAGCCGCACCAGAUCCUGCUACGUCGGCAUGUGCAGAUCCCGCGAGCUUUGGGUUCUGGUCCCUCUCCAUGGUGACAUGUGCGUUCCAUGCCUAACGCAAACAAACAACACAGUGGAAAGACCAUUGGAGUGGAGGUAACAAUCACACUUUUAUUGAGACUAAACUUUGGUUCCAGUUGUCAUCCCACCCUUGUUUCCACUAUAUUUGAAAUUUUUUCUAUGCUUGUUAGUUUUUGAGGAGAAUUUAGACCAACAUUAAUUGUGUAUAUCUACGUUUGGAAUGUUGCUUAUGUUCCAUUUUUGGUCCCACAUACAAAUAAACUUUGGUUCCGGUUGUCAUCCCACCCUUAUUUCUGCUCUAUUUGAAAUUAGUUGUAUGCUUGUGAGUCUUUGAGGAUAAUUUUUUUUAUGUAACAGGAGGGGUGUGACCUCCAGAAAAAUAUUCGGUGCAAACGACCUUCUCGCGGUGGAAAUGUGAAAAUCCCUUAAAAAUCAUACUUUCAAGUAUUAAUUUUUUUUUGAAAUGAUGCACAUUCAUAGUGCAUCCAUAGACACACUUUGUGGCAAAAGAUGGGAUGCAAAACCAUUUUUGCAAAAAUUCAUACAAAAAUGACAAAUUUCAAGUGCAUAUGCACUAGAAGACCAAUUUCCAGGAAUUUCAUCUUUUAGUGUUUAUGCACAUGAAAUUUAUCAUUUUCAUUUGAAUUUUCCUAUUUUGAGUUUGCAUCGCAACUUUUGCCACAAAGUACAUCUAUGGAUUUUUUGAACACUUACAAAUAUGAUUUUUGAAGGGGUUUUCACGUUUCCACCGAGAUGGUGGUUUGCACCGAAUAUUUUUGUGUGACCCCCUAUUAGUUAUAUAUUAAAACAAUAAAUAAAGUAUUUUACAGGGAACAAAAAGAUCAAAGAAAGAGAAAGAGAAAAGAGAAAAUUACAGCAGAUUUUGUAUCCAUUCCUUGUGUGCAUAUAUCCACGGCUGGAAUGUUGCUUAUGUCCCAUUUUUUUCUCCUUCGAGAUCAUUUUCAAUUCAAAGAUUGAAGCCGAUGAUUUUAGUUUUUUCAGUUUACCUAGCAUCCCAGUUUCUUUUCAUGGGCUAGUCAGCAUCCUCAUGAUCUUUAGUUUUUUCAGUUUACCUACCAUCCUGAAGAUCUAGCUGCCAGGUAUUCAGAAACCUGACAGCCUCCGCACAAUUGCAAGUAACCCGAUCCUUUGUACCAGGUGCAACCACUAACCACGCACUAGCAGUCAACGUGAUACAGAUCCAAUCUUGGGUUAAGCCAUUAAGAUCAAAUCAGUGAAGGAUGGUCUGACCUUCCCCCCUGGUCAAUCGAAUGGGAUAACUUUUUUCGACUUACGAGAUGCAAAUCAAACAUAAAAAUGAGCACAAAGUUUACCAAUCAAUUCAGAAAACGACCUGCUGUGAACUAUCCAAUAACUCAAAGUCUUGCUUAAAAUCAAGUCCGUGACAAAUGCUCGAAGGUAAUAUGGUACAAACACGGGCAAUUGAGAGCUUGCAAAGUUCCAACCAUUUAAUAAAAAUGAAGACUAAAAUGAGUUCCUUCUCCAGGUAUAAUAUUAGCUGCAACAGAAGCUUAUAUGCGGUAAUUGUGCUGCAUGUUUUUGGUAACAAACGUCUAUUUUGUAAAUGGGAUAGUUGUGUGUCCACAGAUAGAUGUGCUACAUGUUUUUGGUAACAAACGUCUAUUUCGUAAAUGGGAUAGUUGUGUGUCCACAAAUAGAAGGAAUAGUACACUUUUGGGGAAUGCGCCUUUAGUACCUGGUCAAAAUCCAUCUUUAGUACCGGUUGUGCAACCGGUAUUGUUAUUUCGCCCUUUAGUACCGGAUCAAAUAAUCGGUACUAAAGGGGUAUUAAAAAAUAAAAAAAAAAGAAAUCCGCCAACCGGAGACCUGACCGUACCCUGCAGCCAUCCGCUAGAGCCCUAGAGCCCCGGCCGCACACCUGAGCCCCGCACCAGAGAGAGAGAGGGAGGGAGGGAGGGAGGGAGGCGGUGUACUUACGCUGCUCAGCCACCGCCGCUGAUUGCUGCCACCGCCGGAUCUGAGGGAGAGGUGGCCGCUACUCCAAGAUCCACACGCUCCUUGCUCCACCAUGCCUGCCGACGCUCCACCACCGCGCCCUCCCGCCGGAGCUCCGCUGCUCCUUGCCCCGCCGCCGCUCCUUGCUCCGCCACGCCCUGCCAACGCUCCACCGCCUUGCCGCACCCUCCCUUCCUGCCUCCGCUGCUCCUUGCCCCGCCGCCGCUCCUUACCACAUGUAAGAGGUGAGGGGCGAGUGGAGGGGGGAGGAGAGGGGCGGCGACGGGGGCGGGGGGAGGGGGGGAGGCGGCAAUGGGAUCUGUGGGAGGGACAAAGGGAGGGGAUUCAGCUGCGGAGAGAGAGGGGAUUCGGCGGGGAGAAGAAGAGAGAGAGGCGCAGGUGAGAGGAUGAGGGGGACGAGCAGAUAAGUGUGGGGAGGGGGUGAGAGAGAGAAGGGAGGACUGAUGCGUGAAGAGAGGUUGCGAUUUAGUACCCGGUGAAGCGUCCACCCGGUACUAAAGGCCUUCAGGCACAUUAGUACCGGUUGGAGGCUUCAACCGAUACUAAUGGGUGACUUUAGUACCAGGUGAAGUCUCCACCCAGUACUAAAGGGGGUCAUAGGGGUUCCUCGGGGACUAGCUGUUAGGUCCGGUACUGAGCCUCAGGAUGAAUGCUGAGUUUUCCAGUAGUGAUAACUAUUAUCACAUAAUAUCUUGUGGACUAAGGGACUGAUUGGUGGGGCACCAAAAUGUGCCAAACCAAAAUCAGGGCAAGCCCAAUGAUUCUAGUGCUCGCUUGGUUCAAAUCCAAAAAACUGGCGUGCCAAAGUUUCUGGCACAUCGGCAAGGUUCAGCUUGCCCACGUUUUGGCUGUCCCUGCCAUGCUCCCGUAUUCCCAUCCCUUACUAGUUUGCGCUAUUGUCCUCUACCUGUCAUCUCACUUCUUGCAGCCUCCAGCCAACCCGUCAUCGUCUCCUCUCCUCAAGUACCCAGGUUCUCACCCAUCAACAACAAAGCACUGGAGCUGGAGUUCCACCACCACCCUUUCCCGUUGAAGAUUAAAGGGAACUACCUUGAGUAUAGAUGGGGUAGCAAAAUCUUUCCAUCCGUUGUUAUGCAAGCUGCAUAUUCUAAAAGUGUGUGCUAGUAUGAAUCAUGAACAUUGGCAGUUGUGUUUUGGCAUCAAACCAAUUGGGGGCCAAAAUUUUGGCUGCCACAUUUUGGCACCCAACCAAGUGCCAUCCUAAAACUUUUGCUCAGAUUUUGGCAUGCAAAUUUUGGUAGGGCACAUUUUGGUGCCCAACUAAUCAGACCCUAAAAUUAAAAGUCUGUGGUUAGAAACUUAUUAUGUUCAAUUUGAACCUCUAAUUUAUUAGUUCCAUUUUGGGUUUUGCUACAGUGCGCCGGAUACUUCCCAGGAGGUACAGGAGUUCACAUAAAUCAUAGCCGUUGAUUUGUAGAAUAACUUAUUCAAGAAAUUAAAAAAAUCAAGGAAAAGAAGAAAAAAAUCCAUCCCAGGAAUCACGUUAUUUCUUCUUCAUCCGGCUCUUUCCUUGUCACCCACGGAGAGAAAGAAAGAAAAAGCUACACCGACAUGGAAGUCGGAACGCAGGUCCUCGGCGACACCUCUCGUGAAUCCUCCCCAUUCUGCAGCAUCCCUUAAAUUGUGGAAGCAAAUCAAAUCCAGGUUCAAGAUUUUCGAUCUAAUCGCAAUCGACUUUACCUGCUAGAUCUAAUUGCCACGUUAAAAGAAAAGACGUGAUACAUGCCAUCACGUGAAAAGUCAUCCAGAUCGAUGACAUCAUUUAUUUCGGUCGUCGCAACGUCCACUUUGAUAACGUUCGAUACCGCGGAUGAUCCAAGAUUCAUAAACGAUGUUUUCAAAUUUGGUUACGCAUGCGACGUGCUUCCUUGGUGGGCUAUAAAGGUAACUUGUGUGACGUACUUCCUUGGUGGGCUAUAAUAAUCUUCUAUCAAGAGUAAUGGAGCGAUAGCAAGAACUAGAUCUCUUUCAAGCCUUGUGGUCCUAUUAUCUUCCAGAGUCAUUAUCAUCGUGAAUUUAAUUCUAACUUUCCAACAAGGCAGCUAUUCGAGUAGCUACAAUAUGUCUAUUUCUCUAAACCAGCUGUGCCUUUCAAUCUCUUUUGUCCUUCCGUUCGUUCACUUAAUUUCAUCGAGGAAUUGACAAGAUCAAACGUGCUUUACCGUAGGAGUUACCACGCGCACUCACCCAUAUGAAUACACAUAUGCAACCCUAUCCAUAUGAGCAUAUUUGAGAGACACCAAUAUUAUUUUUCUUUCGCAAAACACAGUAAGUUCAUGUAUACACACGCAUACUCACCCUUAUGAAUACACACAUGCAACCCUAUCCAUAUGAGCAUAUUCGAGAGACACCAAUAUUAUUUUUCUUUUGCAAAACACAUAUAGAUGCAUAAGUUCAUGUAUACACAUGCACACUCAUCCCUAUGAAUACACAUGCAACCCAAUCCCUAUGAGCAUAUUCGAGAGACUGGGCUGACAGAUCUCGAGAUUGCGUGUACCUCACUAUAGACGGACAUGUCGUCUAGGUACCACUGAAAGAAUAGUAUUUAGCAUCUGUUAAUUCCUAGAAUAAAUCUAGGAAAUAUUCCAAGUCGAGGACUCGAACCGAGUGGGUAGGUUCUACCACAAGAAAUCAUAGUAACUACGCUUAGUUCACCACCUAUAGAUAUUUAGCAUGAUCUGUGCACAGCUUUUCUUAGUAUCCAACCAAACUUGGUGAUUCGUGGUUUUGAAAAGGUUUUUUAAAGCUCAGCUAGGAUUUUCUGGGUGGGACCUUCAAAAUAAAAAAUGGUUCACAAACCAGAUUCUAGUAGGAGAUCUGGAUAGGACUUAAACCACUUAAGGAAAAAUUUUCUAGCCUGUAUAAGAUAGUCAAUUAUUACCCUCAUGUUACAAUGACAAAUGUGAUACAUCAAAUGCCACUCAAUAUCUAUUUUCAAAGAGCUCUAGUAGGGGGAUAAGUUGACAGUGUGGCAUAAUACGGUAGCUCAAAUAACUUUCAGAUUUCUAACGAGUGGGAUAUUUUUACCUUCAACCUACAUAAACAUGGGACUGUAGAGCAGAGACAUCACACAAAUAUUCUAUGCAAUUAUGGCUAGACUCUCAAUUGUAAUUUUGCUUAUCUUUUUUGUUUCCUUUUAUGUUUCUUGAGGUUUUAUUUGUAAGCUAAACUCUUGUUUCCUUUAAUAUAUAUAAUCAGUAGGGGCUCUCCUCUCCUGUUACCAUCAAAAAAAACA